UCUGUAGGUGGAUAAUUAAGUCAGAGGUGAAAUCCUGCAGCUCAACUGUAGAAUUGCCUUUGAUACUGGUUAUCUUGAGUCAUUAUGAAGUGGUUAGAAUGUGUAGUGUAGCGGUGAAAUGCAUAGAUAUUACACAGAAUACCGAUUGCGAAGGCAGAUCACUAAUAAUGUACUGACGCUGAGGCACGAAAGCGUGGGGAGCGAACAGGAUUAGAUACCCUGGUAGUCC
rnacentral:rRNA from 1 species